UACAGAGGUCUCAACCGUUGUUCGGAUUCAUUGGGCGUAAAGGGUGCGUAGGCGGUCGCGCAAGUCGGAUGUGAAAUCUUAGGGCUCAACCCUGAAACUGCAUUCGAUACUGCGUGGCUCGAGUACUGGAGAGGAGACUGGAAUUUACGGUGUAGCAGUGAAAUGCGUAGAUAUCGUAAGGAAGACCAGUGGCGAAGGCGAGUCUCUGGACAGUUACUGACGCUGAGGCACGAAGGCCAGGGGAGCAAACGGG
rnacentral:rRNA from 1 species